rnacentral:rRNA from 1 species
CCAAGCUACGAAGAGCCAAUGGUGAAUGCCUUGGCGCCGAACACCGAUGAAGGACGUGAUAGGCUGCGAUAAGCCACGGGGAGCCGCCGAAUAGGCUUUGAUCCGUGGAUAUCCGAAUGGGGAAACCCGGCACCUUUUAUCGGGUGUCACUCCUGCCUGAAUCUAUAGGGCAGGUAGAGGGAACGAGGGGAAUUGAAACAUCUCAGUACCCUGAGGAAAAGAAAGCAACAGCGAUUCCCGGAGUAGCGGCGAGCGAAAUGGGAAGAGCCUAAACCGAAUCCGGUGGUAAAGCCUGGUGGCGUUGCCGGAUCGGUGUUGUGGGACAUCCCCGACCGAGCACCAGAUCGGUCAAGGAGUUACAAAGCAGGCAGAUAGCGGAACCGUACAGGAAAGGCGGGCCGCAGAGGGUGACAGCCCCGUACGCGAAAUCUGCUUGCCUCCUGGGAUUGCUCCCGAGUAGCGCCGGUUCCGUGAAGGCCGGCGUGAAUCUGCGAGGACCACCUCGUAAGGCUAAAUAUGUGUCGGCGACCGAUAGCGAACUAGUACCGUGAGGGAAAGGUGAAAAGUACCCCGGGAGGGGAGUGAAAUAGUACCUGAAACCGUUGGUUUACAAGCAGUCAGAGCGUCGUCUCAACCGAUGAUCUUCGGAUCGUCAAUCAGAGAUCGCGAUGGCGUGCCUUUUGAAGAAUGAGCCAACGAGUUACGGUAUGUGGCGAGAUUAACCUGUGAAGGGAAGUCGGAGCGAAAGCGAGUCAUAACUGGGCGUACAGUCGCAUGCCGUAGACCCGAAGCCGGGUGAUCUAUCCAUGGGCAGUGUGAAGCGGGGGUAAGACUCCGUGGAGGCGCGAACCGACCUAGGUUGAAAACUGGGCGGAUGACCUGUGGAUAGGGGUGAAAGGC